UAGCCCAUCUUGCAGUCUACCACUACCAAUCGUUCUCCCUGUUCCAGAAACUUCGGAUAAGUAUCCCUCCGCAGUGUGAACUUUUUCUUUUCCUGAGUUGAUGAAAUUGGAAGAGGCAACUGUGGUGGAUUGCGAUUCAAGUUGUGAUAGCAAACGCCUUAAAGUCUGUACCUCUUCAUUGGAAAAUAUCUCAGUGGUGGUAGUAUCUUCA
rnacentral:misc_RNA from 1 species